rnacentral:rRNA from 1 species
AUUGAACGCUGGCGGCAUGCUUUACACAUGCAAGUCGAACGGCAGCGCGGGCUUCGGCCUUGCGGCGUGUGGCGAACGGGUGUGUAAUGCAUGGGCAUGUGCCCAGUAGUGGGGGAUAGCACGGCGAAAUCUGGUUUUAUACCGCAUGAGAUCUGAGGGUGAACGGGGGGGACAGAAACACCUCUUGCUAUUGGAGCGGUCGAUGUCGGAUUAGCUAGUUGGUGGGGUAAAGGCUUACCAAGGCGACGAUCCGUAGCUGGUCUGAGAGGACGACCAGCCACACUGGGACUGAGACACGGCCCAGACUCCUACGGGAGGCAGCAGUGGGGAAUUUUGGACAAUGGGGGCAACCCUGAUCCAGCCAUGCCGCGUGCGGGAAGAAGGCCUUCGGGUUGUAAACCGCUUUUGUUCGGGAAGAAAUCCUCUGGGCUAAUACCCCGGGGGAAUGACGGUACCUGAAGAAUAAGCACCGGCUAACUACGUG